rnacentral:rRNA from 1 species
AGACAACUCUCAACAACGGAUAUCUUGGCUCCCGUAUCGAUGAAGAACGCAGCGAACUGCGAUACGUAGUGUGAAUUGCAGAAUUCCGUGAACCAUCGAAUCUUUGAACGCAGAUUGCGCCCGAGGUUUCGGCCGAGGGCACGUCUGGCUCAGAGUCGGUC